rnacentral:rRNA from 1 species
AGAGCGGCGGACGGGGUGAGUAAUGCCUAGGAAUCUGCCUAGUAGUGGGGGAUAACGUUCGGAAACGGACGCUAAUACCGCAUACGUCCUACGGGAGAAAGUGGGGGAUCUUCGGACCUCACGCUAUUAGAUGAGCCUAGGUCGGAUUAGCUAGUUGGUGGGGUAAAGGCUCACCAAGGCGACGAUCCGUAACUGGUCUGAGAGGAUGAUCAGUCACACUGGAACUGAGACACGGUCCAGACUCCUACGGGAGGCAGCAGUGGGGAAUAUUGGACAAUGGGCGAAAGCCUGAUCCAGCCAUGCCGCGUGUGUGAAGAAGGUCUUCGGAUUGUAAAAGCACUUUAAGUUGGGAGGGAAGGCAGUAAGUUAAUACCUUGCUGUUUUGACGUUACCGACAGAAUAAGCACCGGCUAACUCUGUGCCAGCAGCCGCGGUAAUACAGAGGGUGCAAGCGUUAAUCGGAAUUACUGGGCGUAAAGCGCCGCGUAGGUGUUUUGGUAAGUUGGAUGUGAAAAGCCCCGGGCUCAACCUGGAAACUGCAUC